rnacentral:lncRNA from 1 species
GCAGAUUGAUUGGUAGAAAGUGACGUCCCAACUGCCACAUGCAACAAUCCCCUUUGUUCAUCAACUUUAUUGGUAAAAGGACAAGCAAUGUUUUAAAGCUGAAUAUGACAAUCUGGGCAAUGAAAAUGGUAAAGUGGGUUCCACCCAAAGUCAAAGGAAAAUUGGUAAUGUGCCUAGCAAUUGUAGCCCUUGGUUUUACCAACCACAACAAAUCAAAG